rnacentral:rRNA from 1 species
GGGACCACCAGUUGCGAAGGCUCUACACUAGAACGGAUCUGACGGUCAGGGACGAAGCCUAGGGGCACGAACCGGAUUAGAUACCCGGGUAGUCCUAGGUGUAAACGCUGUGGACUUUGUGUCGGGAAUUCUUCGAGGAUUCUCGGUGCCGGAGUGAAGAUGUUAAGUCCACUGCCUGGGGAGUACGGUCGCAAGGCUGAAACUUAAAGGAAUUGGCGGGGGAGCACUGCAACGAGAGGAGCGUGCGGUUUAAUUGGAUUCAACGCCGGAAAACUCACCAAAGCCGACUGUUAGAUGAAGACCAGCGUAACGAGCUUGUCGGAUUUUCAGAGAGGUAGUGCAUGGCCGUCGUCAGUUCGUACCGUAAGGCGUUCUGUUAAGUCAGAUAACGAACGAGACCCCCAUCGUCAUUUGCCAACCCUUUCUCCGGAAAGGGCGCACUAUGGCGAGACCGCUGGCGUGAAGUCAGAGGAAGGCGGGGGCAACGGUAGGUCAGUAUGCUCCGAAUGCUUUGGGCUACACGCGCGCUACAAAGGACGGGACAAUGGGCAGCUACUCCGAGAGGAGAUGCUAUCCCGAAACCCGUUCGUAGUUCGGAUCGUGGGCUGUAACUCGCCCUCGUGAAGCUGGAUUUCGUAGUAAUCGCGUCUCAAAAUGGCGCGGUGAAUAUGCCCCUGCUCCUUGCACACACCGCCCGUCAAACCAUCUUAGUUUGGGGUGGGUGAGGCUACCUUUAUUUGGGGUAUUCGAGCCUGCCUUAGACAAGGAGGGUUAAGUCGUAACAAG